UUAAUGUUUUUAUAUGUUUAUAUCUUAUAGAAAAUAUUUACACAGUUCCAAAUUCAAAAUAUACAGUCCUGUGCAUUCAGAAAGGUUAGCUCAUCUUCCUGGCCCUCCCUCCCUCUCCCCACAUUGGUGCUGUAGCUGGGAUUUCAGUUGUUGUCAUGGUCCCUGGUUGUUUCUGAUUCCUCUGCUUGUGUGUAUAAACCUCGUGUAAAUAUGCACACGUGCUGUGCAACAAAACGUGGUGCCCGGCUUAGAGGAGGGAUGAGUGUUUGGUGGCUGUUGUCACAAUAACAACAGACUAAGUGAUGUGAAACUAUGGGAUUUCAUUCCAUCACAGCACUAGGGCCAGAGGUCUGAGACCAAGUGUCAGCAGGGCCACACUCCCUCUGCAGCAGCGGUUCUCAACCUGUGGGUCGUGACCCUCAGGAACUAUAUUAAGGGCCGCAGCUUUAGGAAGGUUGAGAUCCACUCACUGCUCUGGAGGUCGAGGGAAGAAGCUUCCUUGCUCUGCCCGGUUUGAGGUGGUUGCUGGCAAUCCUGGCGCCUGCUGGCUUGUGGUGGCAUCACCCCGAUCUCUGUCCUUCUCACCUUCUCUUCUUCCCUGUGUGACUCUGUCUCUAAAUCUCUCUCUGCUUAUGCUACAUCAGGACGCUAGUCAGUGGGUCAGUACCCUUUGUAACCCAGCAUGGCCUCAUCUUGACUGUAUCUGCAAAGGACGUCUCCUGAUGAGAUCAUACCCACAGGUACUGGGCACUAGGACUUCAGCAUAUUUUGGUGGGGGCACAGUUUCACACAGAGGUGGAGCUCAGGACCCCACCAGCUGUCAUACUUUUCAAUGGUGGCGUGCCAUCACCCUCGGAACUUCUCUCAGGGCUGAGUCAUAUCCUGAGAUGUGCAGUUUCCCUCAGUUCCUGGAAUAACAGGGUCCAACUGCCUUUCAGCCUGGUUUGGGGGUGACUUGUCACAAAUCUCUGGGGAUCAUCCUUCUGCCUUGGUUUAGAGCUAUGUUUGUUUUGAGGGGAAGGUGAUAUGGGUGUGAUGGUUGGUCAGCCACAGAGCUUCCCAAGCACGUGGCCCUGAGUCUUUCCAGGACACAGGCAGAGAAGCGGGGUAGGCUGGCCACUCCCUUGGAUUUUCCUGAUGGCUCCUGGCCUCACUUUCCCUGCCUGACCCAGGGCGUCCCUGGGGCUGCAUCCCUGCCCUCUGAGCUCUGCACAUCAGUCUCAGUGCCCACCCACCGGCCUGCCCGGGUCAGCCAGGCAUUCGCUCUUCCCAGGGGAAAUACCACUGGACAAAGGAGCAUCUAGAAAGUAACGUGCACGUCGUCUUCUGGUCUGAGUGCAUGUGUCUUAAAACAGGCGUUCUAACACUGAGGCUGACAUUAUUAAAACCCAGGGUGAACAGCGCCGAUAUGAUCUUGUUUGCGUCUCAUCCUCUGCUGAAACCAAGGGAGUAAUUUAUUUUAAUUUGCCAUGAAAGGGCUUCCUGGAAGGGGCUGCACUGCAGGUGUAUUAGGAGGCUGACAGGUGCUUUAGGAUAAGAGCCUGUGGCUCUGAUGGAAGAUUUAUUAUGAUUUGUAUCUCCUACCAAUGCUGUGAAUGGCGCUAACGAGGUUUGGGUUCGCCUGAUAGGAUUAGCUGGUUUGGAUGCCAUUUUGGACUAAGGCCUCGUUGUUUAUGGAAAUGCUGUUUCAUACAUGGGGACUCACACACUCCACCGACAAGCCUGGGUUCCAACCAGAGCUGGGAACUGAACUGGUUGGCUGGUUUUUUGUUUUUGUUUUGACAGCCUCUUCAGGGCCCUCAUAGUCCGGGUACUUCCCUUUCUAGACACGCUCUCUGUGGUAAGUGUGCUCAGGGUAUAAACUUAUGUUUCUCAUGUUUGUUUCUCCCUUAUUUGUAAGUCCAGCAAGGACAGACCUCGAAGUGGUGUUUUAUUCAGAAUCAUAUGCUCAGUGCCCACCAACACGUCCAACCACAGGAGAUGCUUACGAACUUUUGUGUAUUUAUAAAAAAGAAUUCCACAGUUCCACAAUCUCAAGAGAGCUACUGGGAUUGACCAUCCAUCUGUUGGCUUUACAAAACUCACGAAGGACCAUUUCCAGCUAAUGACCCAGUGACCUAGUUGCAAAACCAUUUGAUACAGGACUAGAUGGCGACACAAGUUACCGGACCUGAACCGUCCAGGACUAGAUGGCGACACAAGUUACCGGACCCCGAACCGUCCAGGACUAGAUGGCGACACAAGUUACCGGAC